rnacentral:tRNA from 1 species
GCAUGUAUGGCUGAGUGGUCAAAAGCGGCGGACUCAUAAUCUGUUUUGUCACAGGUUCAAAUCCUGUUACAUGCA